ACGGACAAAGGGCAGCAAGUUCGCGAGGACAAGCAAAUCCCAUAAACCGUGGCUCAGUUCAGAUCGUAGGCUGCAACUCGCCUACGUGAAGGCGGAAUCGCUAGUAAUCGCAGGUCAGCAUACUGCGGUGAAUACGUUCCCGGGCCUUGUACACACCGCCCGUCACACCAUGGAAGUUGGCCACGCCCGAAGCCGUUACUCCAACCCUUGUGGAGGAGGACGUCGAAGGUGGGGCUGAUGACUGGGGUGAAGUCGUAACAAGGUAUCCGUACCGGAAGGUGCGGAUGGAUCACCUCCUAA
rnacentral:rRNA from 1 species